CUUUACACGCCUGAUUAAAGAAAGCAAAACACCUCAACAUGCAGCUCCCGUGAAACUGCAUGGCGGGGCAAAGAUCUAUCUCCGUCUGCUGGGCAUCUUCCCCCAGCUCUCAGUCUGAAUCAGAGCAACCCAGUCAGUAUCAAUCCAGGAAAUGGAUAUUUACUGAGCGCCCAUCUGUGCCAGGCACAGAGCUGGGCCCUGAGGAUGCAGCCGUGAAGGAAGCUUCCAUGCCAGCAGGGACACAGACGGUAAACCCAGGAGCAAACAGGAAAGGCCCUUGCCUGCGUAUUUUAUCUACCGUGCCAGGUCCUGCUGAUUCUACUCCAUCUGCAUCACUCAAGUCAAGCCUUCUUUUUCUGCCAAGAUGGAAGUGGCCAGGGCGGCCCCUUGUGGCCUCUCACCCUGGUGGCUGCGCUGGGCUCCUGCCCUAACGAGGCAGCACUAAGCAAACUGCACAAGCCGACUUGAGGCUGCGAUUCCACUGCGAGGGUUCCCACGCCUUCACUGUGUGGGCUGCAGCCUCACCUGGGAGACUAGAUUGAUGGCAACAAUGUGAAUGCUCAACCACAGGUAAAUCGUGGGACACCUGGACUCUGAAAAAUGACAAACCUGUUUAAAAAGAACGAGGUAGAUCUCUAUGUGCUGACAGGAAAGAUGUCUGCAAGACAGAUAUUUUCAGUAAAAGAGUAAAUUGCAUAAAAAUACAUAUGCUUUCCAUUUUUAUUUUAAAAAAUGUGAGCGUAGAACAGAGAGCUGGGGAGGACAAACCCCAAAUUGUGAGCAGUAACUCCCUCUAGGUGUUGAGGGGGCAAAGGGCGAGA